rnacentral:rRNA from 1 species
UACGGAGGGGACUAGCGUUGUUCGGAAUUACUGGGCGUAAAGCGCGCGUAGGCGGAUUUGUAAGUUAGAGGUGAAAGCCCGGAGCUCAACUCCGGAACUGCCUUUAAGACUGCAUCGCUAGAACGAUGGAGAGGUGAGUGGAAUUCCGAGUGUAGAGGUGAAAUUCGUAGAUAUUCGGAAGAACACCAGUGGCGAAGGCGACUCACUGGACAUCUGUUGACGCUGAGGUGCGAAAGCGUGGGGAGCAAACAGG